rnacentral:rRNA from 1 species
UACGAAGGGUGCAAGCGUUACUCGGAAUUACUGGGCGUAAAGCGUGCGUAGGUGGUUGUUUAAGUCUGUUGUGAAAUCCCCGGGCUCAACCUGGGAAUGGCGAUGGAUACUGGCGAGCUAGAGUGUGUCAGAGGAUGGUGGAAUUCCCGGUGUAGCGGUGAAAUGCGUAGAGAUCGGGAGGAACAUCAGUGGCGAAGGCGGCCAUCUGGGACAACACUGACGCUGAAGCACGAAAGCGUGGGGAGCAAACAGG